rnacentral:tRNA from 1 species
UGGUUCAGUUGGUAGAGCAUGGUGUUUGCAACGCCAGGAUUGUGGGUUUGAUUCCCAC